UUCAGAAUGGUGCAGCGGAAAGCACGCGAGACUCAUACUCUUGUAUCGCAGGUUCGAAUCCUGCUUCUGAAU
rnacentral:tRNA from 1 species